rnacentral:rRNA from 1 species
AUGGCGACGCAGGAAGAAGCUAGAGGAUCCCGACAGCGCAAGGAACCAGUAGAGGAUCUGCUUGGAAGACUUGAUCUGUAUGAGGAUGAGGAAGACCACUUUGUUUGGGAAGAUGCCUUCAAGGACGAACCGAUCACUGCGAAGUGGCUUGCAAUAGCCAAGGUACACACUGAUAAGGGCUUCAGCCCGUCGGCCCUCUAUGCGGACAUAAGAUCUGCUUGGAAUCCCGCUAGGGAACCCAGAUGGCGCAAGAUAGAGGCUAAUCUCUUUACGGUUCAGUUUUCCUGUUUGGGAGAUUGGAACACAGCGAUGAACAAGGGACCCUGGCUGUUCCACAAUCAGGGUGUGAUGUUGGCUGAAUAUGAUGGGUUUGAAAACCCUCGUUCGAUUGUUCUUGACAAGAUAGCCGUGUGGGCUAGGAUCCUUAAGCUCCCUAAUAACUUCUUGAUACCAGCAGCAAUCGAGGGCAUGUGCCUGAAGAUGGGAAAAGUUCUUGAAGUUCAAACCACGCUUCCUGCAGGCUUUGCGGGAGAAUUUGUCAAAGUUAGAGUAGAGCUUAAUGUAAAGAAGAAGUUGAUCAGAUUUGUGGGCAUAACCAUGAAAGAGAAAACUGAAUAUUAUCACGUACAGUAUGAGAAACUUCUGAUUUUCUGUGGAAAUUGUGGCAUGCUAGGGCAUUGGUAUGAGGAAUGCGGCACCGGGGAACAUGAUGUAUCCAAGCUCGAAUGGGGGGACUUUCUGCUUGCGGAUGGUGGCUAG